UGAUAUUCAUCAGAUGCGCGACAAAAAGCUCGGACAUCCUGCGCGACUCAAGUUCAAUUCGUCAAAAUUAUUCAAUCGGGGAAAGAUCUUCAGCAAUUGAUUACUGAAGAAAAGAAGAACCCUGGAUGACGUUAAUCGGAACCCGUAGUCGUGCUUGCGACUAUCGCGUCGAAUUAGUCAGGGUAAGCAAAUUUGUUAUUCGUAUUAGCGGAUUGAUGGAUGGUUUGACUAGGUAAAAUAUUUAUUAGAUUGUCUGAGUCGCUUUGGUAAAUUGGUCGAUGCCGUAGGAUAAAAGAGGUCUCAAUAGGUCUCAGUAUUGCAGAACUGUAGGUACUAAAAAUGAAGUGUUAUUAAUAUAUAUGAUACACAGGUUAACCGGUAAAUUAGUUUAAAAAGUUAAUGAAAAUUCUUCUAUCAAAUUUUAUAAGUAUUAGGUGCCCAAGAAUUUUGAAGUUAAAAUUAUAAGCCGUUUAGUGUGUUCUCUAGACUAGGUAUGUUAUUUUAUGUGUUGAUCGAGUUCAUGCUUAGAAUGGAUGUUGAUUGCUACCUCGACUGUUUAGCUAGGUUAGAAGAGCAUGAUUAUCGUAGGUAACAAUAUAUCGAUAGCUAGUGUCCGCAAUGUCUCGUCAUUAGGUAGGUUAUUUCUCUUUGGCGUAGUAUCGUAAUGUCUGGUGUUAUUGUUCCUUAUAUGCAUUCAUGUGCAUAAUGCAUCUCAAUUAGGUACGUUAAUUGAUCGCGCGAUGCGAAAGACGACCCAAGUCGACCCCAAGCGCGGGCUAAUCUGCAAGCUGAAGCUGAUGAAUCAACCUAAAGAUGGUUAAAUCAACAAGUGCUCGGUCGAAGAAUACUCGUCAAGUGGACGUCACCUAACAACACUAACCUAGUGUUACUCAGGCAAGCCCCGGUGCAUUUGCCACCUCCUUUGAUAUUUUUUAAAAUCUUUCUCACUUGCUUGAUGCAUUAGGUGAUAGGAGUUGAUUGCUAAAACAAUUCCUGCAUUACCUUCCUUAAAUUUGAUUACCUUCCUUGAUCCCCCGUUUUACAAAAGAUUUUGAUGCUUAGCCUUGCUUUAGAAAAACAAAAUGUUUUGUUUUUACAAAAGAUGAUGUGGCAAAAGUGGGUGGGAGGUUUUUGAAAAUAAAAUUUGAUGGUGGAUCCAUCAGGGCCUUGAUGGAUUCAACAUCUGGAAAAGAUGUACCUCUGCCAGGUACCAAACUUUGGGUUUGAAAUAAUUGAGACCGGGCGGGUGACUUGCACGAGAAAGGAGUCUCGAUGUAGUGUCUCCGUCUGAGUCGAUUAAGGACCUUGUCGAUGUAGGCUUGAUGAUCGAGGACCCUUUAACUGGUCACAUGCCUCGUCAUGGAUAAGCCUUGCCUCGGGCAGACUAAGGCCGGAAUAAGAUAACACGAAAUGAGCGUGGAGCGGUGGCGAGAGUAGCGUGUACCCUCCGUGGCAAGAGGCUGGACGGUGGUGUAUCUGUGCUCUCGGUUUGCGUGAACCUGAUCCGGUCUUAAGAACCCUGGUGGCGGGUUGACAUAUGCAAGGGUUAAGUGCUACAUAUGUCGGGUGAUUGGAGAUCCUCAGCUGAGUAUAAUCGAUUCGGAUCGCCGUACCUUCGCGGUUAUGAAGACUUGGUCACUGCCCUACACGUAGCAUUCCACUAAAGAUGAUGGGUUUUUGUUAAGAAAUUGGCUAGUACAGGACCAGUGAUUGAACUAGGGUAGAAAGAACUCUAGUGCAGGUAAUUUUACUUAACUUGACAAAUAAAACUGGAUUUUUAAGGAUCCACUUUUAGUAAGCAUUUUUGCAAAACAGAGUCUUUGAUUAUUGAAAAGCCUUACCUUGACUCCCUAAAGCCAGCAUACCCUUGAGAGUCUUUUCUUUAGUCGGGUAAGUCUUGCUGAGUAAUUCCAUACUCAGGGUUUUAUUCCCUGUUGUUUUUUAGGUUCUAACUUUGUGUUGUUGUGGAUGGUGUUAAGUGCCGGUGGGCUCGGCCUUCUUAUAAGUCUAAGUAACCCUUCUAUACUUCUUAUUGAGGAUGAUCCCUUGAGCUAGCAUAUAUAUUUCAAACUUAUACUUUUGUAAUCACUCCGAUAAAAUAAUAUAAAUUUUUUUGUAACCUGUAAAAUUUGGUAGUAAGAUUUCCGCUGCAAUAAUAUUGGUGUGUGAUUUGUGUUACUUAAUCCCGCGAUUCUGGUUGAAAGUGGUUUAUCCGAUGUCCUUGGGGCAAUCGGACAGAUCCUGUUAAGUUAUCUGGUGCACAUGCAUAGCCGUCUGAGGUCUUUGGGACAAGGACAGGUGCAUGUGGGCCCAAUAACUUGGAGGUUCUGCCACAGGCUGGUAUCGGAGCAGUAUUAAGUAUAUACGGUCACAUACAUAUUUUAAAAACAAAGUUUUGGUUUUAGAAAACCUAUUUUCAGCUAAACACAUUGAUUGGUUUUGAAAAACAGUUUUGAAAAACUAUAAUGCUAGCGACAUCCUCUGUUAAGCCCUAAGUUAAGGACUAUUAGGUGGCUUAUUUAAAAAUCACUAACCCACAACCGGGGGUAUUGCAUACAUGUGUAAUGUUAUUUUUGAGGCCAUUCAGUCUUGAAUGGAUCGACGCUCAAGGUAAGGUGAGAUGUGAGAGCAUGACCGAACAACCGUCGGUCUAGGGAAGAGUAUAGAAAGCGCUUGAUUAUAUACAUGUUCUACAUAUGUAUAUAUGAAGGCUGCGAUAUGGAGUAAUUACUUUUCUGGGAAUUCAGUACCCCAUGUGUGUGUAUGGGUAUACAGACAUGGGAAUACUGAGAAGUGUAAUGUACUUGUAACGAUGCACCUACGCUCAGGUAAGAAGGUAAGUUACCAUAAUGGGUUGCCCUAUGGUUAAAGUGUGGCAACGACGCCUAUGCGUGGCUCGGCGCUUAAUGAUGAGCUGGCCUCCAUAUAGCAAUAUAUGGAGUAUAAACUGUGAUACACUGUCAUGUGUGACUUGCAUCAUUGGGAACCAGGCUAUGAUGGAAUUUUCUGCAGGUACACUAAACUCGAAAGCGUAUGUGUAGUUGACGACUAGCAAAAUAUCGUGAGAGUCGUAAGAAUGCCACCGAUAUAGAACGUUAUUGCCACAUUAUGUUGGCAAAAUCAGUGAGGACGAAUAGGACGAGCAUGCAUCCUGAUUGUUGCAUUAUGUUUGUCACCUAUACACCCAAAAUGCUUCUCUCAUCUUUAUUCCAGUAACCAUUGAUUGUAGAUAAUGUGGUGUAAUGCUGAAUUAUGAACUUCGAUGAAAUAGGUGUCCUCCAUUCUUUAGGUAACCUAUUAAGGUCUUAUAUGGUGUGUGCUCUUGUGCUUAAUGUGUCGAUAGAAGGUUAGUGACUUGUUUGCCUAAACCCAAAUCUAGGCCAUGUUCUUAGUUGGUGAACCAUGACCAAAGUUGAUUUUUCCGUUACCCCUCCUUGACCCAAACUUAUACAAAUAAAUGCUUAGAUAAUUUCUUCGUUGGACAAAAAGGGUACUUAAGCUUAAAAUAAGAAUCUCGACUCAUAUUUUCAUCUUAGACCAUGCCCUUAUUCGAUUGGCGCAAACUGAUAUCCCUAAUUCCAGCUUGCCUGUUCUUGAUAAUCACAUCAUUGCUUUAUCGACCCAACCUAGGAAAGACAUGUCUCAUCAUUUUCUUGAGUUUGAUGCCUUUGAUUUCCUCAUUUCUAUCGAAGGCAUACCAACUUAAUCUCAUGAUUAUUUUUACUCCGCAUCUAGUCAGAUACUAAUCCUUGACCUUGUAAUCCCUAUGAUGGGCAUAGAAAUAUGUUUGGGGCUGAAUUAACAGUCUCCCAUCGUACUCGCUCACCAACAAAUUUAGGUUAUGGCCAUGUGUCAUUCAUUUCAUUGGGCCAUGGUCUAUUUGGCCCUCUACUUAUAACCAUUUUGACAGGUAGAGUCUCUUGUAUAUUGUCACCCUUGCUCAGUCUAUUUGUGAUGCGCGAGAUUUCUUAUUGGUUACGUCUGGUAAUGGUGUUAUGACUAAAACUAACGAUGCUGCGACGAAACCGAGGGCCUUCUGUGUGUGCGCAGACACGGUUGUGCUGCUCGGCACGCGCUGGUAUCAUGGUUAGUAGUUGUAAUCCAUUAUGGGACUAUAUCAAUGUGUUAUCUUGGCACAAUCUAUUUUUACUACGUGAUAUUCAUUAUUGGUGUUGUUCGGUAAUGGUGUCAUGAUUAAUGACUUAUGGUGCCGCAGCGAAACUGAGAGCCUCCUGUGAAUGCGCACACAGGAUUGUGCUACUCGUCGGAUGCUGGUAUCAAGGUCUCUGGUCAUGAUCCAUUAUGGAACUACACUAAUAUAUUAUCUUCCGUAGAUCUCUUCCUUGAAACGAUUUCGGUGUUGUUUGUCGAAGUGACCAAGCAACAUCUAUCAUCUCUAUUGGGUAAAAAGGACAUACCAUUUUUUUAUGUGGUCUCUUUUCUUUUGAUCUUGGUAGUGACUACUCAUACAAGUCCCCUUUACGUCCCUUGUGUAAAGGUGAAGCCUUGAAGCUUUUUAGUGUUGGGAGAUAGUUGAUUAGCUCUCAAAAUGGAGAUUGAUUUUCCCCUGCUGCUGGAAUGCAGGAGUUUGUUCAUUCGCUCCCUUAUUUAAUCCAUGCAUUCCCAAACCAAGUCAGUUCAUCUCGCAUGAAGAAACGGAUGAACGACCAGACCAAAUGGAUUUCUGCCCAAGUGCAUGAUCAACUGUUAGUAUGAGUGAACUCUCAACCCUUGGAUUACCAAUGGUACUGAGAGGACUUGCUCAAUGUCAAAAGUAGUUUAACAAGUUGGUUUUACUAACUUGUAACUGCUUUGUGAAUGAAGGUUGAGUUUAGAGAUCGUUUUAUCGAUUUGCCUGAACUCACUUUGGUUUAGCCCAUCCUAAGGAAGUACUUACAAGAAUCGAGAUUAAGUCGGCUAGUAACCGCCUAAUUAUCGCUCUAGUCAUGCCUUGAUCACCUCGCGUGUGCUUUUCCAGCAUGUGUGAUCAAGUCAAGCCAUGCAUAGUGCUUGAUAAAAUGGAUUGGUUGCGAAGUCAACAUCAACAGAUCUUUUCAUUGAUAUUUUCUGAGUCUAUCAUUUUUCGUGGACUUGGAUUCUCUAGCUAGCCACAGGCCAACUGUGAUGUUAUUUGACAUCCACCUCGUCUCGUGUGCUACGAACUUACUGUAACCACUUGUUGGUAAACCUCUUUCUGUGUGUUUUUACCCAAGAUGGUGCCUCUGAUUCUGGUUGGGUAAAAUCGCGUAUUCACCGCUCGCUCAACAGACUCAGAUAGUACAGUGUCAUCAAAGAAAGUAAACUGCACACAUGGAACCUUAUGUGUUCUCAUGGCAGACAUCGUCUCUAUUGAUGGACAUCUUUAAAUUAGCUUGUGGCGAUACAUGCUAUGUCCACUAGAGAAACGACAUCCUGAGGCACUCGCUUUCGCUCAGAACUGUCUCACGAUUAUCGCUGAUAUGGAUGUGGGUUACAUGCUUCUCUACUCUUAGAAGUCUUUCGUUCCGAAUCUCGGGACGAGAUUCUUUUAAGGGGGGAGGGCUGUAACACCCCAGGUGUUUAUACUCCGCUCGACAAUGAGUAUGAAUUUAAGCACGUAAUAUCAGUGGAUAAAAUGGAUGUUAAAUUUUAAACAUCUUCGCCUGUCGCGAUUUUAAAAUCGCAUCUGUUCCGUUUGUCGUAAGUGCGACAUCAUUUUUACUUCUAUUUAUUUUGGCUCUUCCGAAGUUUUCGUGUUGUUCGGAACAUAUUUGUUCUGAAAAUCGGUGCGUCCGGUGAGUAUUUAAAAUUCAUCGCUCGCGCGAAUACGAAAUCGGAAGUUCUAUCUAUUCUUAUGAUUUUUAUCCUGGGCAAAUUAAUUUGUGCUCGACGACUAAAAUUAUUCGGGGCAAAAUAAUUUGUUCCGCGCGUUGUCUGAGAAAAAUCGUGCGCGAGGUUAUAAUCCAGUUAAUUCUUCAGCACGCUGUUUCGACGACAAAAAUCGCGUAUACGUUCGCAGAUUGUGUUUCGGCUACUUUCGGUCGAAUCACGCCGAACAAAUUAUCAGUGCCGAAAUCAGUUAAUUUCGGUCUGUCGCUUCUUGCCCGGAUCUGAAUUUUCGGAUAUAAGUGAUUAGCGAUUAAUUUGGUUCGCUAAAUCCGAAGCAUGUUAUGUGUAUUCGUGUAGUGCAUCGAUCCUUUAUUCAGCACUAAAAAUCGGGACUUCAAAAUACUUGUGAUUUCUGGAAAUAAAAAAAAACAAAAUAGAAAAAAAAAUCAGUCGGCUCUAUCCUCCACUUCGCUCUCUCUAAUCCUCAUCCGUGGUGUUUUUUUUUCCACCGCCCACCGUCUCUACUUAUCCUAUCGUGCUUUGCACUCGUUUUUUUUUUCUGCAGCCGUUCUCUCCCUCAAGCUCAUCUUCCAGCGCACUCCUCCCAUUCGUGGAGCUGUCUCCUGCUCCCGCUCAUGGCCGAGCGCCCGGCCAGGGCUCCUCUGCGGGCAGCUGUGUCUCCCUCUCCCUCUCUCUACUCUCUUCCCUGCUGCUUGCUGGUACUUGCCGCGUCGCUCCCUCUCUCUCUUCUUCAAGCCGCCGUCGACCCUGCCCUGGACGCCGGAGUCCCUCUGCCCGUUGCCAUGGCAGCCGUCAGGCCGAGCUCCACCCCUGCUCAUCUUCCCUAUGUCGCGCCCAGCGAGAGCUCCCAUCGCCGUGCCCCUGGCUGCUCUCUGUCAGCCGAGCGUGUGCCCAGCCGAACUCCUCCCUGCACGCGCUCGAAUUUCUUUCCUUCUCCACCGUGCGGCUCUGCUCGCCGUCGGGUCUCUGUAUCCAUGGCGCGGCUCUGCUGAAGCUCCUCUGCUCUUUUUUUUUUAACGCGCGCACGCAGUCCAUUCUUCUUCCCCGCCGUGGAGCCAUCCUUGCCGAGCACCGCUUGCCCAGCCAAGUCUCGCCCAGCUGCCCCUGGUGGCCGUCUUCUCUCCCAGCGCCUAGUCCCUACUCCCUGCGCCGCGGUCUCCUCCAAGCUCGCCGAGCUUCCUUGCGCUCGCGCGCAGCCGCUCCUCUGACCGAACGCCCUCGGCUCAGCUCCUCAGCUCUCCCUGCUCCUCCGAUUCGGUGCCGCGCGCAGUUCCCACGGUGCCCUGUGUCUCUCUCUGGUGUUUCCUCCCUGCGCGUGCGAAAUUUCCUUGCUGGCUGGCGCUUGGUCCAUGUUCCACUGUGCCAUACUGUUUCCCUGCGCGCGUUAAGUUUCCGUGCCGAGUUCGCCUGGGUCGCAAGCCUGUGUGUCCUCGCCAGCUCGCUUCAUGUUUAAUCUCGUCGUCGUCCCACGUGUCAUCAAGAAAUUCCAAGAGUCAAGUGAAGACGGAGCCAGCAACGUGAUAUUCAUCAGAUGCGCGACAAAAAGCUCGGACAUCCUGCGCGACUCAAGUUCAAUUCGUCAAAAUUAUUCAAUCGGGGAAAGAUCUUCAGCAAUUGAUUACCGAAGAAAAGAACCCUGGAUGACGUUAAUCGGAACCCGUAGUCGUGCUUGCGACUAUCGCGUCUAAUUAGUCAGGGUAAGCAAAUUUGUUAUUCGUAUUAGCGGAUUGAUGGAUGGUUUGACUAGGUAAAAUAUUUAUUAGAUUGUCUGAGUCGCUUUGGUAAAUUGGUCGAUGCCGUAGGAUAAAAGAGGUCUCAAUAGGUCUCAGUAUUGCGGAACUGUAGGUACUAAAAAUGAAGUGUUAUUAAUAUAUAUGAUACACAGGUUAACCGGUAAA
rnacentral:lncRNA from 1 species